rnacentral:rRNA from 1 species
CGUGUAGGCGGUUGGAAAAGUCAGGUGUGAAAUUCUUCGGCUCAACCGGGGACUGCGCCUGAAACUUUCCGACUGGAGUUCGGGAGGGGCAACUGGAAUUCCUGGUGUAACGGUGAAAUGUGUAGAUAUCAGGAGGAACACCCGUGGCGAAGGCGGGUUGCUGGACCGAAACUGACGCUGAGACGCGAAAGCGUGGGUAGCAAACA